CCAGCUACCAAACCUCCUGCAGAAUCACCCAAACAAGGAACUCCAGAGACACCAAUCCCUGCUCUUGCUACUGGAGGCUCCGUGGAGUGGCCUGUGGAUGCGUGCCUAAGGUACAUCUUCUCUAAACAAACUUGUAACUUCAUCCUUGACCAUCAAACUCUUGAAAAGAGAUCAAAAGAUCUCCAGAAAACCCCACGAACAGCAUGCCUCUUGCAGGAACCCCAGCUCCCAAAAAGAAGAGAAA